rnacentral:lncRNA from 1 species
GGAUAGUUUCAGUAAAUAUUCCGUGACAUGUCAAGUCCGUUGCAACUUGCUCCAAUAAGUCCAAAGAAAAGACAAAAGUCGUUCAAUUUUAUGCAGUGCUUAAUAUGCAAAAAAAGCAAACUCGACUGAAAUUUUGAGUCAAUUUACCCAUACAGCGAAGUCGAUUUUUGUAUCUGCAUCGAAUAAAAAAUUGGAUGAGGUGAACAUCAAGAUG